GUGCUCACUUCAGCAGCACAUAUACUAAAAUUGGAAUGAAUCAGAGAAAAUUAGCACAGCCCCUGCACAAAAACAAAACAAAACAAAACAGAACAAAACACCUGACCU